AAGGAGAGCUAUAGAGAAAAAGAGAUAAAAAGAAACACAAAUAAGAAGAAAUAAAGAGAACUAAAAAGCAAAAGAAAUAGAGAGAGAGAUAGAGAUAUAGAGAGCCCGGCCGGACAGCAUCCAGCCCCACCGAGCGCCGAGGGGCAAAUGGCUCUAAAGUCGAUUCCCAGGGUUUAAAUCCCCCCCGGCCCCGCCCCGCGCAGGCGCUCUGGGGCCCCGCGCACCUGUGCAGGCCCCGCCCCUCACACCUGAGCCGGCCCCGCCCCGCCCCGCCCGCGCCCGUAAAUCCCGGCGGAGCCGCGCCCGCGCCGCUUUCUGCAGUGGAGGCUCAGCCCGGGAUGCGGCGGGACCGGCGCUCGGAGCGCUGCGCGGAGCUGCGGACCGGGGGCUGCUCCCGGCGCCGCGCGGAGCUCGAGGCGCUGAGGUUGUAAGAUAUCCGGAGUGCAAAGGGACACAAAAGGAGCACCAAGUUGAACCCUUAUGUGAAUGGCUCAUCUGGGGACGGAACCCCCAGCCCGAGCAUUUUCAGCACCCUGCUCCACCCAAGCCAAUCUCGGGUCAUGGCAAUGUCCUGGCUGCGAUGGGAAUGCCACGUGCCAGCCAGGGAAUUCCCAUGCCAGUGCGGCUCCGUCUUUUAUGCCAAUACUGCUUCCCACAGCAGCCCCUGGGAUGCCCAUUAGGGCAGAGCUCCAUGGCCACACCUGACCAUGGAACAACACAGGGAGAAAUGAGCAGCACAAGCCCUGAGGGUUCCCGUGCUCCGUGGCCAGAGUUCUUCUGGAGAGUGCCAGGGCUGCUCCUGCCUGCAGAGGGGCCUUUGCUGCAGGUCAGUGUUCCCAGCCCAAAAUCAGGGUGGGGCUGAGGCCGGGGCUGCUGCUCUGCCCAGAGCUGCAGGGAGCCCUGGGGGACUCCUGCUCCUGCCAGGAACGUUCCUUGGUGCUCCCUCCGGGUGUCCCGGCUGGCCGGGAACGCGGGGCCGGAGGAGGCCGGGAGCCCCGGGAAGGGAAGCAGCCCCUGCUGUCCUCGGUGUUGGCAGGGGAGGAGCUGUGCCUCAGUGUCCCGCCCGCGGCAGCAGCGGCCAAACACAGCCCGGGGAGGGGCGCUGGGAUGCCCGGGCAGCGCCGGGAUGGACACGGACCAAGGGCUGCCCGCGGCUUUUCGGCCGGGGGCUGCUCUCAACAGGCACCCGGAGAUGCUGCAGCCCGGACAGAGCCCACGAACAUCCCAAAAACAGCCCAAGGAACAGCUGGAAUGCCUGGGAAUGUCGGCACGUUGGGUUUGCAGAGGAGCUCAGACAGCAAUUCCCGGUGCCACCUCCUGGAGCUCCCACACCCCCACCAGUGAGAAGAACAUGAACUCACAGAGAUUAAGGCCUGGCAGUCCCCUGCAGUGAGAGCUCAGUGCACAUCCACAGAGGCAAUUCCAGCAUCUGAAAGAAAGGAAGGAAGAAGAAAAAGGGACUGCUGCAAUCCAACUCUGAAGCUGACAAGCCCCAAAGCUCUUUCUGUCUGCUCUGGAACAAAAGGAUCCUCCAGGGCUGGGGCCCAUUCCCAGCAAACACUCCCAGCACUGCCCAGAGGCACCCCUGGAGCUGUGUGUGGGGCUGGCAGGGGCUGCAGGAGGACACAGCCCCAGGGGUGGCAGUGGCAGUGACAGCAGCAAUUCCCAGGCUCUGGUGGCACAGCAGGGACAAAGGCCAGCAAUGCCCACGGGAGGUGCAGGUUUCAUUCUGCUCCCUGCACUGCCACAGCCCAGCAGGAAAUCUCCAGGGGCACAGAAACUCUCAGGGUGCCCAAAAUGCAGCAUCUGUCCCCCUGAUCCUGGGUGAACUCAGCGUGUGGGGCCAACCCCCACAGGCAAACCCUGCCCUGAGCUGGCUCAGGCUCAGACACUGCCCCAGCUCUCACCUGCAGCUGCUCCCGGGGCUGCCCCCACAUUCCUGACAGGAGCCAAAGGCCACAUCUUCGAUGGCAGGAGCACAGGCCCUUCACUCCAAAUCCUCCCAACCCUCCCCCAGGUUCGUGCCGUGGCCAGUGCCUGCCCCGAGGCUGUCACCCAGCCCUGCAAUUCAGGAAGUUUUAAAUGCAAAUUUUCCCCUUCAGUGUUAUUUUCAGGAAGAAACAAACCCACCACAGUGCAAAGGAAAAAAGGUGUUUUAAGGAAUGUUUUACUCUCACACUCCUCACUUUACACCUCACAAUCAGCCCAGCAUGAAACAGACAUUCAGGAAUUAGUGUUUAGUAGCUGCCAUUAGAAUUUUAAGGGAUAUCAACAAAGCCUUGAUAAAUAUGUGGGGAAUUCCACAAUAUGUUUUCCUUCCCCAUCUGUGUCAUCAUCCAGCACAAUUCCCUGUUCCUGUUUGGUCCCCAGGAGCUGCAAGAGGAAUGUCAGUUGUCGGCGUUGCCUCGUUAGUCCAGGAGAUAAUUAAUUCAAAGAGAAUUAAUCUGGUCAGUGGUAGAAGAUCAUCACAGCAAAACACCGUCUUUGCCACAAGAUAUUCCCACUCCUGUAACCUGUUCUCUGGUCAAGAACUACUUCCCAAACUCAGUAAUUCCAUCUAAACCACAGCAGCACAGUUUGGAGGGACAGAAGUUUUCAGCCUUGUGUGAGGGAAGACAGAAACUGGGAGAAAAUCUUGAAGUUGAAAAUCCUAUUCCUCAUUUCUUUGACUAAUGAACCUCUUAAAAUCCAGUCUGGAUUGUACAGAAAAGUUCCUUAGUCCCGCUUGGAAACUGAUCUCUCAAAAACAUCCACAAAAGGCAUUUUUCAGUUACUAUAACUCAUUCCAUUAAUUACUAUAGAAAAGAGAAUACAAAUAAACUGGAAAAAAAUU